ensembl:lncRNA
AGUGGUGAGAGAGGGCAUCCUUGUCUUGUGCCAGUUUUCAAAGGAAAUGCUCCCAGUUAUUGCCCAUUCAGUAUGAUAUUGGCUGUGGGUUUGUCAUAAAUAGCUCUUAUUAUUUUUAGAUACAUCAUAUCAAUACCGAAUUUAUUGAGAAUUUUUAGCAUGAAGGCUGUUGAAUUUUGUCAAAGGCCUUUUCUGCAACUAUUGAGAUAAUCAUGUGGUUUUUGUCUUUGGUUCUGUUUAUAUGCUGGAUUACGUUUAUUGAUUUGUGUAUGUUGAACCAGCCUUGCAUCCCAGGAAUGAAGCCCUCUUGAUAAUGGUGUAUAAGCUUUUUCAUGUGCUGCUGGAUUUGGUUUAUCAGUAUUUUAUUGAGGAUUUUUGCAUCAAUGUUCAUCACGGAUAUUGGUCUAUAAUUCUCUUUCUUCUGUUGUGUCUUUGCCAGGCUUUGGUAUCAGGAUGAUGCUGCCUCAUAAAAUGAGUUAGGGAGGAUUCCCUCUUUUUCUAUUGAUUGGAUUAGUUUCAGAAGGAAUGGUACCAACUCCUCCUUGUACCUCUGGUAGAAUUUGGCUGUGGAUCUGUCUGGUCCUGGACUUUUUUGGUUGGUAGGCUAUUAAUUAUUGCCUCAGUUUCAGAGUCUGUUAUUGGUGUAAUCAGGGAUUCAACCUCUUCCUGGUUUAGUCUUGGAAGGGUGUAUGGGUCUGGGAAUGUAUCCAUUUCUUCCAGAUUUUCUAGUUUAUUUGUGUAGAGCUGUUUAUAGUAUUCUCCGAUGAUAGUCUGUAUUUCUGUGGGAUCAGUGAUGAUAUCACUUUUAUCACGUUUUUAUUGCAUCUAUUUGAUUCUUCUCUCUUUUCUUGUGUGUUAGUCUUGCUAGAAGUCUAUUAAUUUUGUUGAUCUUAAAAAGAAAAAAACCAGCUCCUGGAUUCAUUGAUUUUUUGAAGGAUGUUUUGUGUCUCUAUCUCCUUCAGUUCUGCUCUGAUCUUAGUUAUUUCUUGCCUUCUGCUAGCUUUUGAAUGUGUUUGCUCUUGCUUCUCUAGUUCUUUUAAUUGUGACGUUAGGGUGUCAAUUUUAAAUCUUUCCUGCUUUCUCUUGUGGGCAUUGAGUGCUAUAAAUUUUCCUCUACACACUGCUUUAAAUGUGUCCCAGAGAUUCUGGUAUGUUGUGUCUUUGUUCUCAUUGGUUUCAAAGAACAUCUUUAUUUCUGCCUUCAUUUCUUGUGAUGUUAGGGUAUCAAUUUUAGAUCUUUCCUGCUUUCCCUUGUGGGUAUUAAGUGCUACAAAUUUCCCUCUACACACUGCUUUAAAUGUGUCCCAGAGAGUCUGGUAUGUUGUAUCUUUGUUCUCAUUGGUUUCAAAGAACAUCUUUAUUUCUGCCUUCGUUUUGUUAUGUACCCAGUAGUCAUUCAGGAACGGGUUGUUCAGUUUCCAUGUAGUUGAGUGGUUUUGAUCGAGUUUCUUAGUCCUGAGUUCUAGUUUGAUUGCGCCGUGGUCUCAGAGACAGUUUGUUAUAAUUUCUGUUCUUUUGCAUUUGCUGGGGAGUGCUUUACUUCCAACUAUGUGGUCAGUUUUGGAAUAAGUGCGAUGUAGUGCUGAGAAGAAUGUAUAUUCUGUUGAUUUGGGGUGGAGAGUUCUGUAGAUGUCUAUUAGGUCCACUUGGUGCAGAGUUGAGUUCAAUUCCUGGAUAUCCUUGUUAACUUUCUGUCUUGUUGAUCUGUCUAAUGUUGACAGUGAGGUGUUAAAGUCUCCCAUUAUUAUUGUAGGGGAGUCUGAGCCUAUGUGUAUCUCUGCAUGUGAGAUGGGUCUCCUGAAUACAGCAAACUGAUGAGUCUUGACUCUUGAUCCAAUCUGCCAGUCUGUGUCUUUUAAUUGGACCAUUUAGUCCAUUUACAUUUAAGGUUAAGAUUGUUAUGUGUGAACUUGAUCCUGUGAUUAUCAUAUUAGCUGGUUAUUUUGCUCGUUAGUUGAUUCAGUUUCUUCCUAGCAUUGAUGGUCUUUACAUUUUGGCAUGUUUUUGCAAUGGCUGGUACUGGUUGUUCCUUUCCAUGUUUAGUGCUUCCUUCAGGAUCUCUUGUAGGGCAGGCCUGGUGGUGACAAAAUCUCUAAGCAUUUGCUUGUCUGUAAAGGAUUUUAUUUCUCCUUCACUUAUGAAACUUAGUUUGGCUGGAUAUGAAAUUCUGGGUUGACAAUUCUUUUCUUUAAGAAUGUUGACUAUUGGCCCCCACUCUCUUCUGGCUUGGAGAGUUUCUGCCAAGAGAUCUGCUGUUAGUCUGAUGGGCUUCCCUUUGUGGGUAACCUGACGUUUCUCUCUGGCUGCCCUUAACAUUUUUUCCUUCACUUCAACUUUGGUGAAUCUGACAAUUAUGUGUCUUGGAGUUGCUCUUCUCGAGGAGUAUCUUUGUGGCAUUCUCUGUAUUUUCUGAAUUUGAAUGUUGGUCUGCCUUACUAGGUUGGGGAAGUUCUCCUGGAUGAUAUCCUGCAGAGUAUUUUCCACCUUGGUUCCAUUUUCCCCCUCACUUUCAGGCACACCAAUCAGAUGUAGAUUUGGUCUUUUCACAUAAUCCCAUAUUUCUUGGAGGCUUUGUUCAUUUCCUUUUACUGUACACUUCUCUUCUUGCUUCAUUUCAUUCAUUUGAUCUUCAAUCACUGAUACUCUUUCUUCCAGUUGAUUGAGUCGGUUACUGAAGCUUGUGCAUUUGUCACGUAGUUCUCGUGUCAUGGUUUUCAUCUCCAUCAGUUCUUUUAUGGUCUUCUCUGCAUUGAUUAUUCUAGUUAUCCAUUCAUCCCUUCUUUUUUUCAAGGUUUUUAGUUUCUUUGUGCUGGUUACGUAGUUCCUUCUUUAGCUCUGAGAAGUUUGAUCGACUGAAGCCUUCUUCUCUCAACUUGUCAAAGUCAUUCUCCAUCCAGCUUUGUUCCAUUGCUGGCAAUGAGCUGCAUUCCUUUGGAGGGGAGAUGUGCUCUAAUUUUUUGAAUUUCCAGCUUUUCUGCACUGCUUUUUCCCCAUCUUUGUGGUUUUAUCUGCCUUUGGUCUUUGAUGAUGGUGACGUACUGAUGGCGUUUUGAUGUGGGUUUCCUUUCUGUUUGUUAGUUUUCCUUCUAACAGUCAGGACCCUCAGCUGCAGGUCUAUUGGAGUUUGCUUGAGGUCCACUCCAGACCCUGUUUGCCUGGGUAUCAGCAGUGGAGGCUGCAGAAGACAGAAUAUUGCUGAACAGCGAGUGUUGCUGUCUGAUUCUUGCUCUGGAAGCUUUGUCUCAGAGGUGUACCCAGCCAUGUGAGGUGUGAGGUGUCAGUCUGCACCUAGUAGGGGAUGUCUCCCAGUUAGGCUACUCAGGGGUCAGGGACUCACUUGAGCAGGCAGUCUGUCCAUUCCCAGAUCUCAAGCUCCGUGCUGAGAAAACCACUGCUCUCUUCAAAGCUAUCAGACAGGGACAUUUACUUCUGCAGAGGUUUCUGCUGCUUUUUGUUUAGCUAUGCCCUGUCCCCAGAGGUGGAGUCUACAGAGGCAGGCAGGCCUUUUUGAGCUGCAGUGGGCUCCACCCAAUUCGAGAUUCCCAUCGGCUUUGUUUAACUACUUAAGCCUCAGCAAUGGCGGGUGCCCCUCCCCCAGCCUCGCUGCCGCCUUGCAGUUAGAUCUUAGUCUGCUGUGCUAGCAAUGUGGGAGGCUCCAUGGACGUGGGACCCUCUGGGCCAGGUGUGGGAUAUAAUCUCCUGGUGUGCCAUUUGCUAAGAUCCUUGGUAAAGCGCAGUAUUAGGGUGGGAGUUACCCAAUUUUCCAGGUAUUGUGUGUCUCAGUUUCCCUUGGCUAGGAAAAGGAAUUCCCUUCCCCCUUGCACUUCCCAGGUGAGGUGAUGCCUCACCCUGCUUCAGCUCUUGCUGGUUGGGCUGCACCUGCUGACCAGCACUGACUGUUCGACAUGCCCCAGUGAGAUGAAUCUGGUACCUCAGUUGAAAAUGCAGAAAUCACCUGUCUUCUGUGUCACUCAUGCUGGGAGCUGGAGGCUGGAGCUGUUCCUAUUUGGCCAUCUUGGGUGCCGCGGGCUGAACCUAGAUAAAUUCUUCAAGACAAUAUCAUUCACUAAUUUUGAAUAAUGGCUUUUGAUUCUCUUUGCAAAAUUUAAUCCACACUGUUGUUUUGUUGUUGUUGUUGUUGGACUUUACUAUGUAAUUUGAAAAUGCUGGUCUAUUAAAUUCUUACUAAAAACCAGAGGUCAGAAUAUUAAGCUAUUUCUUAUACUAUAUAAUUUAGUAAAUCAAUAAUCAUUUUGAGCUCAGAUAUGGGCUCUAAG